UACGACCCUGCGGCGUCCUAAUCCAUGCAAGUCGAGCGAAUCUGAGGGAGCUUGCUCCCAAAGAUUAGCGGCGGACGGGUGAGUAACACGUGGGCAACCUGCCUGUAAGACUGGGAUAACUUCGGGAAACCGGAGCUAAUACCGGAUAAUCCCUUUCCUCCCAUGAGGAAAGGCUGAAAGACGGUUUCGGCUGUCACUUACAGAUGGGCCCGCGGCGCAUUAGCUAGUUGGUGAGGUAACGGCUCACCAAGGCCACGAUGCGUAGCCGACCUGAGAGGGUGAUCGGCCACACUGGGACUGAGACACGGCCCAGACUCCUACGGGAGGCAGCAGUAGGGAAUCUUCCGCAAUGGACGAAAGUCUGACGGAGCAACGCCGCGUGAGUGAUGAAGGUUUUCGGAUCGUAAAACUCUGUUGUUAGGGAAGAACAAGUAUCGGAGUAACUGCCGGUACCUUGACGGUACCUAACCAGAAAGCCACGGCUAACUACGUGCCAGCAGCCGCGGUAAUACGUAGGUGGCAAGCGUUGUCCGGAAUUAUUGGGCGUAAAGCGCGCGCAGGUGGUUCCUUAAGUCUGAUGUGAAAGCCCACGGCUCAACCGUGGAGGGUCAUUGGAAACUGGGGAACUUGAGUGCAGAAGAGGAAAGUGGAAUUCCAAGUGUAGCGGUGAAAUGCGUAGAGAUUUGGAGGAACACCAGUGGCGAAGGCGACUUUCUGGUCUGUAACUGACACUGAGGCGCGAAAGCGUGGGGAGCGAACAGGAUUAGAUACCCUGGUAGUCCACGCCGUAAACGAUGAGUGCUAAGUGUUAGAGGGUUUCCGCCCUUUAGUGCUGCAGCAAACGCAUUAAGCACUCCGCCUGGGGAGUACGACCGCAAGGUUGAAACUCAAAGGAAUUGACGGGGGCCCGCACAAGCGGUGGAGCAUGUGGUUUAAUUCGAAGCAACGCGAAGAACCUUACCAGGUCUUGACAUCCUCUGACAAUCCUAGAGAUAGGACGUUCCCCUUCGGGGGACAGAGUGACAGGUGGUGCAUGGUUGUCGUCAGCUCGUGUCGUGAGAUGUUGGGUUAAGUCCCGCAACGAGCGCAACCCUUGAUCUUAGUUGCCAGCAUUCAGUUGGGCACUCUAAGGUGACUGCCGGUGACAAACCGGAGGAAGGUGGGGAUGACGUCAAAUCAUCAUGCCCCUUAUGACCUGGGCUACACACGUGCUACAAUGGAUGGUACAAAGGGCUGCAAGACCGCGAGGUUUAGCCAAUCCCAUAAAACCAUUCUCAGUUCGGAUUGCAGGCUGCAACUCGCCUGCAUGAAGCCGGAAUCGCUAGUAAUCGCGGAUCAGCAUGCCGCGGUGAAUACGUUCCCGGGCCUUGUACACACCGCCCGUCACACCACGAGAGUUUGUAACACCCGAAGUCGGUGGGGUAACCUUUUGGAGCCAGCCGCCUAAGGUGGGACAGAUGAUUG
rnacentral:rRNA from 1 species